GAUGUGAUCAAUAGUUGUGC
rnacentral:siRNA from 1 species